CUGAAACUGCUGGCUCUGCCAUGUCUGCAGAGUGGUAGCCUGAUCCAAUCACAGUGCUUCCCCAUAGGAUUGACUGAGACUGACAAGGAGGCAGAUCAGGGGCAGAGCCAGCAUGAUUCAAACACAGCCCUGGCCAAUCAGCAUCUCCUUAUAGAGAUGAAUUAAAUCAAUGAUUCUCUAUGAGGAAAGUUCAGUGUCUGCAUGCAGAGGGAGGAGACACUGAAUGUUUGGAUGCAUUUUAGUCAGCCAUGACCAAGGAAGCAUCUCUAAUAGCCAUCUGAGGAGUGGCCAGUGAAGUUAUCACAAGACUGUAAUGUAAACACUGCAUUUUCUCUGAAAAGACGAAGUUUGCAGCAAAAAGCCUGAAGGUAAUGAUUCUACACACCAGAACAAAUUCAAUAAGCUGGAGUUGUUCUGGUGACUAUAGUGUCCCUAUAAACCUCAAUCUCAUCUCCAAACCCCACAAUCUCUUCACCAGCCCCACCUGUCUAUUCUUCAGCCCGGUGUGAUGUCCACCUCAUUACUAUCCCCAUCUCAUUGCCAGCUCCCCUAUGUUAACUUGCCUUCCCAUCUCCUCUCCAGUUCCCAAAUCUCAUUCUAAACUCGAAGCAGUCCCAACUCAUUUUCAGCACCAUAUACCUUGCUUCAUUCAGUCAGUGCUCUGUCGUGGUGUCUUGCUACACAAGAGUGGGUUUAACUACUAAAUUGUGCUUUAUUGCUUAUAACCCAGCUUUAUUUGAUUACUCAGAUUUUCUGUGUUCCUUGGUUUGCUUUACCGUUCUAUUGUACGUAUGUAAUUGUUUACCUUGGCCUGACUAUGCUUUAGCUGCUUGCAGGGGUGUUUCACACUACAGAGGCCCUGCGUUAAAUCCAUGAACUCUUAAGGACUGGUAAUAAAUGUUUAUUAUUCC